AUGUCAAAUUAGCGUCUUCAUCACACAGAUACUACAGUUUGUCAGCAGGGUGGAUAAUAAGUAUAAGCGUAUGAACAGCAGUGAGCGUGUUCGCAUUGUGAGCUCAGGAAACCCAACGCUGCCCAGACCAGGCUUCGAAACCCUGAGACAGGAUGGUAAGCCUUGCACCCUACACCCUAAACACUACAGGAAACCCAACGCUGCCCAGACCAGGCUUCGAACCCUGAGACAGGAUGGUAAGCCUUGCACCCUACACCCUAAACACUACAGGAAACCCAACGCUGCCCAGACCAGGCUUCGAAACCCUGAGACAGGAUGGUAAGCCUUGCACCCUACACCCUAAACACUACAGGAAACCCAACGCUGCCCAGACCAGGCUUCGAAACCCUGAGACAGGAUGGUAAGCCUUGCACCCUACACUAUACACUACAGGAAACCCAACGCUGCCCAGACCAGGCUUCGAAACCCUGAGACAGGAUGGUAAGCCUUGCACCCUACACCCUAAACACUACAGGAAACCCAACGCUGCCCAGACCAGGCUUUGAAACCCUGAGACAGGAUGGUAAGCCUUGCACCCUACACCCUAAACACUACAGGAAACCCAACGCUGCCCAGACCAGGCUUCGAAACCCUGAGACAGGAUGGUAAGCCUUGCACCCUACACCCUAAACACUACAGGAAACCCAACGCUGCCCAGACCAGGC